UACGUAGGGCGCAAGCGUUGUCCGGAAUUAUUGGGCGUAAAGAGCUCGUAGGCGGCUUGUCGCGUCGAUUGUGAAAGCCCGGGGCUUAACUCCGGGUCUGCAGUCGAUACUGGGCGGCUAGAGUCUGGUAGGGGGAUCGUGGAAUUCCUGGUGUAGCGGUGGAAUGCGCAGAUAUCAGGAGGAACACCGAUGGCGAAGGCAGCCCCCUGGGCUAGCACUGACGCUCAGGCACGAAAGCGUGGGGAGCAAACAGG
rnacentral:rRNA from 1 species